rnacentral:lncRNA from 1 species
AUGUCAUCACAUUUGAAUUGCAGAGCUGUGUACCUCUCCAGGUCUGCAUUUCACCUCAGCUUCAAUCCACAGGACCACAGACUGAAUCUGUUCCUGGUUAGUUCCUCUCUGCCCUAUCCCAGAGGGAAUGAGGAACUUCUGUUGGGUAAAGGAGAGAAGACACUGGCAACUGUGGAACCUAAUAUUAGGGUGCCAUUUGGAGCACCCAUUUUCAGUGCAGCAGUGAUCUCGAUGGCAUCAACAUCUGCCUUAUCUCAGCAUCCCAGCAGCAAAUCAAGUCCAUUGCAAAAUGAAGAACAAAAAUGGAUGGUGCAGGACACAGAACAGAGCGAUGCUGAUGCUGAGCAGGAAGAAAUAUCACCUUAUUCCCUGCUCACUGUAAGAGUCAUAAAGAUGACAAAUGCUCAUCAGGCAGACUUAUGAUGGAUCAGCCCUUUCCAGUUGCUCCUGGAAAAGUUCAAUAUCUGAGAAUCUCUUUGGUGUUUACUUGGCUCAUGACGUAUGGGACUGGAAUCCUUGUAGUAACUACAAGUUCCUUUCCUUCAUCUGCAAAUUGCAAAGCCUUUCUGCCUCUUCAUUUUUCCUGAGGAUAAAGGUGGAGUAGGAAAUGGCUUCCAGAUCUUUCAGCAAACUCCAGGAAAAGGAUCCCCGGCUUCCUCUUGACAUACUGAAGGAACAAUUGUACUGCUAGUAGAUCUCUCCCUUCCUACCCCACCUGAGGAGACAAUAGUCAGCAUGGGUGGGAUAAUUAAUUUUUCUGUCAUGGAGGGUUAAUAGCAAGGCAUGGCAGGUAGUUAUUAUCUGAAUCAGACUCAAACCCUGAUUCUUUUAAUAUUUCUCAUGGAAUUAAAUUACAGACAUAGAAAUAUGAAUUUGAAAAGAGAAGUUUCUAGAUCAAAUUCUCACCUUAUUAAUGUUUUUUGUGUUUGUUUGUUUGUUUUACAUAAGGGUUGCAUGUAAAAAACAUUAUGAGCAUAUACCAUCAUGCACGUAACAGUUAUGAAGCAAAGUAGAUCAGCAUAAAAAAAUGUUGGGAUUA